GUUGUUGUGGCCGAGUGGUUAAGGCGAUGGACUACGAAUUCAUUGGGAUUUUACUUGUGCAGGUUCAAAUUCUGCCAACAAUG